rnacentral:siRNA from 1 species
AACAAUAUUCCUGAACUUGGGACA